AAAUCUGGGAAAACCGAGUCGACCUGGUCACCUUUAUCAUAAGAUCUCAUGAUAAAGGUGACCAGGUCGACUCGGUUUUCCUAGAUUUCCA
rnacentral:pre_miRNA from 1 species